rnacentral:rRNA from 1 species
CCUUGACAUACUAAGAACUUUCCAGAGAUGGAUUGGUGCCUUCGGGAACUUAGAUACAGGUGCUGCAUGGCUGUCGUCAGCUCGUGUCGUGAGAUGUUGGGUUAAGUCCCGCAACGAGCGCAACCUUUUCCUUAUUUGCCAGCGGGUCAUGCCGGGAACUUUAAGGAUACUGCCAGUGACAAACUGGAGGAAGGCGGGGACGACGUCAAGUCAUCAUGGCCCUUACGGCCAGGGCUACACACGUGCUACAAUGGUCGGUACAAAGGGUUGCUACCUCGCGAGAGGAUGCUAAUCUCAAAAAGCCGAUCGUAGUCCGGAUCGCAGUCUGCAACUCGACUGCGUGAAGUCGGAAUCGCUAGUAAUCGCGGAUCAGAAUGCCGCGGUGAAUACGUUCCCGGGCCUUGUACACACCGCCCGUCACACCAUGGGAGUUUGUUGCACCAGAAGUAGGUAGUCUAACCGCAAGGAGGACGCUUACCACGGUGUGGCCGAUGACUGGGGUGAAGUCGUAACAAGGUAAGCGUAGAUGA